GGGCAGUGGGCAGGUAUGGCUGAGGGCGUGUGAGCGCCGAGCGCUAAGGGCCGCCGCCACCAUGCCAGGGGGCGCAGGCGCCGCCCGGCUCUGCUUGCUGGCGUUUGCCCUGCAGCCCCUCCGGCCGCGGGCGGCGCGGGAGCCUGGAUGGACAAGAGGAAGUGAGGAAGGCAGCCCCAAGCUGCAGCAUGAACUUAUCAUACCUCAGUGGAAGACUUCAGAAAGCCCCGUGAGAGAAAAGGUAAGACUCAAAAGACCUCAUUUACACUGGCAGGAGUUGACAACUGAGGUUUGGGCUACCUACUCAACUUUCUUAGAAUCCCAGUCAUCACCAUUAGUUCUGUUUCUGGCCCACUCUGUCCUCUGGGUGCCCAUUUUGGAGAUCACAGAUGGGACUUUCCUUCCUUGUAUGACAAACUUCUAGAACACUUCCCAAUGCUAUUAGUUGAGGAAAUGAAAAUUCACAUUAAUGCUGACACAAGCUAAGUGCAGAUGUGUUGGUGUCACAGAAAUCACUUAGUCUUGAUUGGAAUUCAUUAAAUAUUGUCAUUGUUAUUUUUGCUCUGCAUAAUACAUACUUCAUUUUCUUGAAGGAAUAAUGUACUUGGAGAGAAAAAAGAUAAUAAUAUAAACUAUAAACUAUUUUAAUAAGACGCAGCGUAGAGACCUAGUACUGGGGAAUGUAUCUUA
rnacentral:lncRNA from 1 species